rnacentral:tRNA from 1 species
GCAGGAGCGCCAUCGUGGGAGAGGGGGGCGGGUUGUAGACCCGCUGUCUCGGCUGAGCAGGUUCGAAUCCUGUCUCCUGCA